UACGGAGGGGGCUAGCGUUGCUCGGAAUUACUGGGCGUAAAGCGCGCGUAGGCGGAUUUGUAAGUCGGGGGUGAAAUCCCGGGGCUCAACCUCGGAACUGCCUUCGAUACUGCAAAUCUCGAGUCCGGAAGAGGUGAGUGGAAUUCCUAGUGUAGAGGUGAAAUUCGUAGAUAUUAGGAAGAACACCAGUGGCGAAGGCGGCUCACUGGUCCGGUACUGACGCUGAGGCGAGAAAGCGUGGGGAGCAAACAGG
rnacentral:rRNA from 1 species